rnacentral:tRNA from 1 species
GCGAGGGUGGCGAAACGGUACACGCGCUAGCCUCAGGAGCUAGUGACCGAAAGGUCGUGGGGGUUCGAAUCCCCCUCGCCGCACCA